rnacentral:rRNA from 1 species
GCCUGAUGCAGCGACGCCGCGUGAGGGACGACGGCCUUCGGGUUGUAAACCUCUUUCAGCACAGACGAAGCGCAAGUGACGGUAUGUGCAGAAGAAGGACCGGCCAACUACGUGCCAGCAGCCGCGGUAAUACGUAGGGUCCGAGCGUUGUCCGGAAUUACUGGGCGUAAAGAGCUCGUAGGUGGUUUGUCGCGUUGUUCGUGAAAACUCACAGCUCAACUGUGGGCGUGCGGGCGAUACGGGCAGACUAGAGUACUGCAGGGGAGACUGGAAUUCCUGGUGUAGCGGUGGAAUGCGCAGAUAUCAGGAGGAACACCGGUGGCGAAGGCGGGUCUCUGGGCAGUAACUGACGCUGAGGAGCGAAAGCGUGGGGAGCGAACAGGAUUAGAUACCCUGGUAGUCCACGCCGUAAACGGUGGGUACUAGGUGUGGGUUUCCUUCCUUGGGAUCCGUGCCGUAGCUAACGCAUUAAGUACCCCGCCUGGGGAGUACGGCCGCAAGGCUAAAACUCAAAGAAAUUGACGGGGGCCCGCACAAGCGGCGGAGCAUGUGGAUUAAUUCGAUGCAACGCGAAGAACCUUACCUGGGUUUGACAUGCACAGGACGUGCCUAGAGAUAGGUAUUCCCUUGUGGC